rnacentral:lncRNA from 1 species
GCUCAUCAUAUGCCAGCUCCUGUCUCCUGACACACACACAGCCAGAGUGCUCUUUGUGUUCUACAUCCUCCAUGGCUUUCUCCACACAUAACUGAUAUGAAAAAUAAAUAAAUGAACCUUGAGCCAAAACAAGAAUAUACUCACAGGAAUUAUUAGAGCAUGCAUUGUUGAACCUCAAGGUUACAGGAUAUUAAGAAACUUAGAAAGAGGUGGACAGAUACUUAAGCAUCAGUCAAGAAGUGUUGAUCAAGCAACUCCAAUAACUAAGGACUACUAAAGAAGCUAAGCAUUGUAUCUCUUUUCAUGAAACUUCAUAGCUGAUUAAAAAAAAAAAAAGAAAGCUACUAAACAAGUAAGUUGAUCAGAAUAUUAGGACACAAAGAGAGCUGAUUCACCUUC